rnacentral:lncRNA from 1 species
AUUACUUUGUUAUUCCUGUGUCAUUUCUGUUGUCACUGAGUUAUUCCUGUGUUAUUUCUGUGUUAUUACUGUGUUAUUAAUGUGUUAUUCCUGAGAAUUUCAGUUAUUACUGUGCUAUUACUGUAUUAUUUCUGUGUUAUUCCUCUGUUAUUACUGUGUUAAUCCUGUGUUAUUACUGAAUUAUUCCUGUGUUAUUACUGUGUAUUUCCGGUGUUAUUUCUGUUAUUACUGUGUCAUUCCUGAGUUAUUCCUGAGUUAUUUCUGUUAUUUGUGUUAUUCCUGUAUUAUUACUGAAUUAUUCCUGUGUUAUUACUGUGUAUUUCCGGUGUUAUUUCUGUUAUUACUGUUUUAUUCCUGUUAUUUCUGCUAUUACUGAGUUAUUUCUGUGUUAUUAAUGUGUUAUUCCUGCUAUUACUGAGUUAUUCCUGUGUUAGUUCUGUGUUAUUACUGUGUUAAUCAUGUGUUAUGCCUGAGUUAUUUCUGUUAUAACUGUGUUAUUCCUGUGUUAUUACUGCGUUAUUACUGUGUUAUUACUGUGUUAUUACUGCGUUAUUACUGUGUUAUUACGGUGUUAUUUCUGUGUUAUUACUGAAUUGUUCCUGUCGUAUUACUGUGUUAGUCCUGUGUUAUUUCUGUUAUUACUGUGUUAUUCCUGUUAUUUCUGUUAUUACUGAGUUAUUCCUGAGUUAUUACUGUGUUAAUCCUGUAUUAUACGCGUGUUAAUAAUGCGUUAUUACUGAAUUAUUACUGUGUUAUUCCUGUGUUAUUAUUGCGUUAUUACUGUGUUAUUACUGUGUUAUUAAUGUGUUUGUACGGUGUUAUUUCUGUGUUAAUCCUGUAUUAUUCGCGUGUUAAUAAUGCGUUAUUACUGAAUUAUUACUGUGUUAUUACUGUGUUAUUACUGCGGUAUUACUUUGUUAUGGUGUUUUACUACUGUGUUAUUUCUGUUAUUACUGUGUUAUUCCUGUGUUAUUUCUGUUAUUACCGUGUUAUUACCGUGUUAUUCCUGUUUUAUUCCUGUGCUAUUCCUGAAUUAUUUGUGUUAUUACUGUGUUAUUCCUGCGUUGUUUCUGUUAUUACCAUGAUUUACUGUGUUAUUUCUGUGUUAUUACUGUGUUACUCCUGCGUUAUUUCUGUUAUUCCUGUGUUAUUACUGUUAUUCCUGUAUUAUUAAUGUGUUAUUACUGUGUUAUUCUUGUGUUAUUUCUGUUAUUAAUGUGUUAUUACUGUGUUAUUACUGAAUUAUUUCUGUGUUAUUCCGUUGUUAUUUCUGUGUUAUUACUGUGUUAUUAAUGUGUUAUUCCUUUGUUAUACCUGUGUUAUUACUGUGUUAUUAAAGU